rnacentral:snRNA from 1 species
GGAUGUGAGGGCGAUCUGGUUGUGACAUCUGUUGCCCCACUUAUCGCCAGAGUUGAUUCGGCUGAUCUGGCUGGCUAGGCGGGGGUCCCCUUCCUCCCUCACCGCUCCAUGUGCGUCCCUCCGGAAGCUGCGAGCUCGGUCGAAGAGGAUGACCACCUCCCACCCCGAAAGAGGAGGACCAUUCCGCAGUCGAUUGUAUAUGAGUAGCUCCACAUCUCUGCUAGAACCUCUCCACACAAGCUCUCAAAAAGGUUUUUCUCCAACCCAGCAAUAAUCAGAUAGAUGUGUAAUUCUAAAAUCCCGUUCCAAAGGACAACAAAAAUU